GAUGAACGCUAGCGGCAGGCCUAACACAUGCAAGUCGAGGGGUAGAACACUUCGGUGUUUGAGACCGGCGCACGGGUGCGUAACGCGUAUGCAAUCUACCUUGUACAGGGGAAUAGCCCAGAGAAAUUUGGAUUAAUGCCCCAUAGUAUAUAACCUUCGCAUGUUGGUUAUAUUAAAGUUCCAACGGUACAAGAUGAGCAUGCGUCCCAUUAGUUAGUUGGUAAGGUAACGGCUUACCAAGACGAUGAUGGGUAGGGGUCCUGAGAGGGAGAUCCCCCACACUGGUACUGAGACACGGACCAGACUCCUACGGGAGGCAGCAGUGAGGAAUAUUGGUCAAUGGGCGCAAGCCUGAACCAGCCAUGCCGCGUGCAGGAAGACGGUCCUAUGGAUUGUAAACUGCUUUUAUACAGGAAGAAACAACUCUACGUGUAGAGUCUUGACGGUACUGUAGGAAUAAGGAUCGGCUAACUCCGUGCCAGCAGCCGCCGUAAUAC
rnacentral:rRNA from 1 species